AACAACCCAGACCGCCAGCUAAGGUCCCAAAGUCAUGGUUAAGUGGGAAACGAUGUGGGAAGGCAUAGACAGCCAGGAUGUUGGCUUAGAAGCAGCCAUCAUUUAAAGAAAGCGUAAUAGCUCACUGGUCGAGUCGGCCUGCGCGGAAGAUGUAACGGGGCUAAACCAUGCACCGAAGCUGCGGCAGCGACGCUUAGGCGUUGUUGGGUAGGGGAGCGUUCUGUAAGCCGUUGAAGGUGGCCUGUGAGGGUUGCUGGAGGUAUCAGAAGUGCGAAUGCUGACAUAAGUAACGAUAAAGCGGGUGAAAAGCCCGCUCGCCGGAAGACCAAGGGUUCCUGUCCAACGUUAAUCGGGGCAGGGUGAGUCGACCCCUAAGGCGAGGCUGAAAAGCGUAGUCGAUGGGAAACAGGUUAAUAUUCCUGUACUUGGUGUUACUGCGAAGGGGGGACGGAGAAGGCUAGGCUGGCCGGGCGACGGUUGUCCCGGUUUAAGCGUGUAGGGGGUGUGACCUGGUAAAUCCGGUUGCAUAUCAACCCUGAGGCGUGAUGACGAUGCACUACGGUGCAGAAGUAGUUGAUGCCCUGCUUCCAGGAAAAUCCUCUAAGCUCCAGGUAACAUUAAAUCGUACCCCAAACCGACACAGGUGGUCAGGUAGAGAAUACCAAGGCGCUUGAGAGAACUCGGGUGAAGGAACUAGGCAAAAUGGUGCCGUAACUUCGGGAGAAGGCACGCUGGCAUGUAGGUGAAGUCCCUCGCGGAUGGAGCUGAAGCCAGUCGAAGAUACCAGCUGGCUGCAACUGUUUAAUAAAAACACAGCACUGUGCAAACACGAAAGUGGACGUAUACGGUGUGACGCCUGCCCGGUGCUGGAAGGUUAAUUGAUGGGGUCAGCCGCAAGGCGAAGCUCUUGAUCGAAGCCCCAGUAAACGGCGGCCGUAACUAUAACGGUCCUAAGGUAGCGAAAUUCCUUGUCGGGUAAGUUCCGACCUGCACGAAUGGCGUAAUGAUGGGGGCGCUGUCUCCACCCGAGGCUCAGUGAAAUCGAAAUCGCCGUGAAGAUGCGGUGUACCCGCGGCUAGACGGAAAGACCCCGUGAACCUUUACUGCAGCUUGACAUUGAACUUUGAUCUUACUUGUGUAGGAUAGGUGGGAGGCUUAGAAGUAGCGACGCCAGUUGCUAUGGAGCCAUCCUUGAAAUACCACCCUGGUAAUAUUGAGGUUCUAACUCUGUCCCGUUAUCCGGGACGAGGACCAUGUCUGGUGGGUAGUUUGACUGGGGCGGUCUCCUCCUAAAGAGUAACGGAGGAGUACGAAGGUGCGCUCAGCGUGGUCGGAAAUCACGCGUAGAGUAUAAAGGCANAAGCGCGCUUAACUGCGAGACCCACAAGUCGAGCAGGUACGAAAGUAGGUCUUAGUGAUCCGGUGGUCUGAAUGGAAGGGCCAUCGCUCACGGAUAAAAGGUACUCCGGGGAUAACAGGCUGAUACCGCCCAAGAGUUCAUAUCGACGGCGGUGUUUGGCACCUCGAUGUCGGCUCAUCACAUCCUGGGGCUGAAGUAGGUCCCAAGGGUAUGGCUGUUCGCCAUUUAAAGUGGUACGCGAGCUGGGUUUAGAACGUCGUGAGACAGUUCGGUCCCUAUCUGCCGUGGGCGUUGGAAGAUUGAGAGGGGUUGCUCCUAGUACGAGAGGACCGGAGUGAACGCACCACUGGUGUUCGGGUUGUCAUGCCAAUGGCAUUGCCCGGUAGCUAAGUGCGGAAAAGAUAAGCGCUGAAAGCAUCUAAGCGCGAAACUUGCCUCAAGAUGAGUCUUCCCUGGGCCUUUAAGGCCCCUGAAGGAACGUUUAAGACUAAGACGUUGA
rnacentral:rRNA from 1 species